AGGCUUUUCCUCGUUGCCUGUGCGCCAUCUUUACUGGGGGCAGCUUCCGGCAUGAGGCAGUCCACAGGUUGAAGGCGUGGUGUCUCUGAAUUAGUUAACCCGCGGAAGGGAAGCUGAAAGAGACGCGGGUCCUCCGGUACACUGCUCUGGCUCCUCUGUCCCUGGGAUUCUCCAGGCGAGAAUACUGGAGUGGGUUGCCAUUUCCUUCUCCAAUGCAUGAAAGUGAAAAGUGAAAGUGAAGUCGCUCAGUCGUCCUCGACUCUUAGCGACCCCAUGGACUGCAGCCUACCAGGCUCCUCCAUCCAUGGGAUUUUCCAGGUUGAAUUGUCACCCUUAAAUUCAUAUGUUGAAGUUCCAACCCCAGUAUCUCAGAAUGUGACAGUGUUUGGAGAUAGGACCUUUAAAGAGUGUUGCUGUUGCUGCUGCUAAGUUGCUUCAGUCAUGUCCGACUCUGUUCGACCCCAGAGACGGCAGCCCACCAGGAUCCCCCGUCCCUGGGAUUCUCCAGGCAAGAACACUGGAGCGGGUUGCCAUUUCCUUCUCCAGUGCAUGAAAGUGAAAGUGAAGUUGCUCAGUCAUGUCUGACUCCUAGCAACCCCAUGGACUACGGCCUACCAGGCUCCUCUAUCCAUGGGAUUUGCCAGGCAAGAGUACUGGAGUGGGGUGCCAUUGCCUUCUCCUUUUACUGAGAUAUAAUUGACUUAUAGCACUGAAUAAAUUUAAGGUGUAUAGCAUAAUAAUUUGAGUUACAUACAUCAUGAAAUUAUUAUUAUAAUAAGUUUAGGAACAUCCAUUAUCUCAUGUAGUUACAGAAUUAAAUAGAAAAUUUAAUGGAAAAAUAUUUUUUCCUUGUAAAGAGAAUUCAGGAUUUACUCUCUUAACUUUCAUAUAUAACAUACAUAC
ensembl:lncRNA